rnacentral:misc_RNA from 1 species
CGAAAAACCCAAAUUAGCAGAAUCAAGGAAAUUAUCUACUGAGGUAAGAACUUUUGGUGUACCAACUGCAUUCUCCGAUGAAACGACUAGUGCCGAGCUGAACUUCUUUGAGCUUGUCCCUGUGGUUUCGGUAGCUGAUGAUGAAUCUGCCUUCUUGCUAACCCAACUGGAAUUGUCAGAGACGAAUGUUUCUUCAACUAAAACAAUAUGGUACCGAGUUUUAUCAAUAUCAAGAGCCACAAUUUUGUUAAUGUGAUCCAACGAGCUAGCAAG